UUUAAUAAGGAACUAGAAACUAAUCAGAACCGUUAGAUCUAAGAGAAGAGGCGCGCUAGAUCAGCGGCUAGGAUAUAUUCUGACAAAUUAAAUGAAAGUCCCACAAACAAAUUCGCGAUUUUCUCACUCCUCACCAACGCCGUUUUCGUUCUCCUUUACCAUUUUCGUUCUCCUCUACUCUAUUGACGCGGAUUCUGAGCUUUUCCUACUCCGUUGAAGCAUCUUCUGAGAUUCAUAUGUGAUUUGAAGUUCAAUACCAGCUUGAAGACUACAUAUUUAGCUCAAGUGGGAAGUUAGAAAGAUUACAUCCAUUGUAUUGGUUUUUACAUCUCAUAGCGGACGAUCGGUACAUUUUAGGAGUCGAGGAUGUAGAGGAUGAUGAUGAUGAUUCAUCUGGGGAUGGGGACGAGCUAUAUGAUGUCAACAAGGAGCAGAAUUUGGGUGAGGCAGAAGAUCAGGCUCACGAUGCUUUGGAGCGUAUGUUAGAUGAGUUUGAAAUUUCAGCUGAUCAAGCGCCUCCUAUCGAGAAUGCAAUGUCUGAGUCGUUGGGCGAGGAUCAAAGUGGAGGGGGGGUGAAGGGACAAGCGCAGAAAAAGAUGAGGGGUCCGACGACAAGUUUCAAGAAACCUGUCGGUCCAAUGGUCUUGGAGUAUGACAGGGUAGGACAACCGACAGGUAAAUGGCGUCGUCAGUAUGCUGUUCAAGUUGGGAUUUGUGCGCGCAAAAUCCCCAUUACUCUUCGUUUGAGCGACGUACCUAUUGGCUUGAUAGACACGUUUUGGAAUGAUACAAGGAGUCUAUUUAACAUUCCAAAUGAGUACGCCAAGUGAAGGGUGUUUGAAUCCUUACUUGCGACAAGAUUCAGAGGCUUCAAGACCACCUUAGUUUGUCGGUUUAUCACAAAGAAGCUUGUGAGAAAACCAAAGAACAAGAAAGGAGGUGGCAUGGAUGAUGAAGUCAUCGAUGAAGAGAAACUCCCAUGGCAAAUAUGGCCUAGUGUAUCAAAGGAAGAUUGGGAUGCUUUCGUUCUUCAAAAAAGCAAAAAAGAAGCAAUUGAAAUAAGGGAGCAGAAUUCCAAGAAUGCAUUGCAGAAGCAAUACUACCAUCGUAUGGGGUGUAUGACGUUAGAUGAAUGGAGGGAGACGUGGGUGAGUGAGGGAGUAUACCCCACUGUGCUUGUAGGGUCCUCCAGAGUGUCCUCUGACUCCACGACCAGUACUUUGGUGAGUUGUGCCGGAGAUUUCUUUUGUUCUUUGCAUUCUCGUGACAAGAAAACCGGAAAAUGAUCCAUCAAGGCUCCGGAAACGAAAUAAAUGGCAGA